rnacentral:rRNA from 1 species
UACGUCGGGUGCGAGCGUUAAUCGGAAUUACUGGGCGUAAAGAGUGCGCAGGUGGCCGCGCAAGUCGAGUGUGAAAUCCCCGAGCUUAACUUGGGAAUUGCGCUCGAAACUACGUGGCUCGAGUGUGGCAGAGGGAGGUGGAAUUCCACGUGUAGCGGUGAAAUGCGUAGAGAUGUGGAGGAACACCGAUGGCGAAGGCAGCCUCCUGGGCCAACACUGACGCUCAGGCACGAAAGCGUGGGGAGCAAACAGG